GGUAGGGGAAAAUAUUUUUGAAAUGGGAAAAGUGGAGAAUAAACAGUCACACAUUAAGUUGACCUUGAAAUAAUGAUUCACUGUCCAAGCAGUGCUUACAGAUCUCUGGAGCCAAGGGAAAGCCAUCAGUAGUGGGAGGGCCCUGGGGUUUCACCAGAGAGGAUGCCUGAGGUGGGGGGGCAUCUUGGAUCAGCACUCCAUGGUUGGUACUUCUGCUCAAACUUAAUCUCCAGUUCGGUAAAACUAUUAAUGUUUUAACUUAGUAAAAUCAAGUCAACAGUGUAGGAGGAAAGGCUUUAAAGUGGUUUACAAACAAAAAGGACUAAUUCAUAUUGAUAACCACUCAGUUACUAAUUGAGGUAGCUUAACCAUGUAUCUUCAGUUUAAAGACAAAAUGAACUACAAAGAAGUCGUGAACUUUAGAAGGUUUAUUGUUGAUAGAGCUGUAGUGAUUCUGAAACUUGUAUUUAUGGUAGCACUGAGCAAAUGAGUGAAAUAUAUUGAGAAUAAUGGGAGCCAGGGUUAUUACUGCUGUGGUAAGAGAGACAAUACAGAAUGGGGGAAGGCAAAGAAGCACCCAUGGUGUUGGAUUAAAAGUUUCAGUAUGAACUCAUGAUUUAAAAGUAUGAUAAAUAUGUAUUCAUAUAUACAUGUGUCCCACAUAUAUAUACACACACUUAUUUGCAUAAAUUUUCCUAGUUCUGUCUGCUGAAAUGCCUCAAAGCAAUGAUAUCCAGUAUCAGUGUGAAUACCUAGUGCCAAUUUUAGCUUCUAAAUGACAUACCUACUAAAAGAAACUAAGAAACUACUAUAUACUACUACUACAUACCUAUUAAAGAAACUCCUUGGAGAAACUGCUGAUUCCUGGGCUGGGCAAGGAAAAUACAAGAUAAGCCUAGAGCAUUAUCUUGUCAGAAAAUAACGAAAUACUAAAAAAAUCAGUGGGAUAUAUUAAAAGCACUUUGGGAGGCUGAGGCGGGCAGAUCACGAAAUCAAGAGAUCGAGACCAUCCUGGCCAAUAUGGUGAAACCCCGUCUCUACUAAAAAUACAAAAAUUAGCUGGGCAUGGUGGCACACACCUGUAGUCCCAGCUACUCGGGAGGCUGAGGUUGCAGUGAGUCGAGAUUGCGCCACCGCACUCCAGCCUGGCGACAGAGCGAGACUCCUUCUCAAAAAAUAAAUAAAUAAAAUAAAAUAAAUCAAGUCCAAAAUGAUACUAAGAAAACAAAAACAGGAGAAAAGAAAGCUCCCUUCCUUACCUAGAGUUCCAACUAAUAAAUAUGAGAGAGUUAGAAACUCAACAUUUUAUAAUCAAUGCAGAAUCAUUGAUUGAGGCAAAAAUCAUCAAUGAAUACUAAAAUUAUUGGGUGAAAGUUUAUUUAUUUAAUUUUCUGAGACAGAAUCUAGCUUUGUCACCCAGGCUGGAGCACAGUGGUGUGAUCUCGGCUCACUGCAACCUCCGCCUCCCAGGUUCAAGCGAUUCUCCUGCCUCAGCCUCCUGAGUAGCUGGGCAUGUGCCUCCACAUCCGGCUAAUUUUUGUAUUUUUAGUAGAGAUGGGGUUUCACCAUGUUGGCCAGGAUGGUCUCAAACUCCUGACCUAAGGUGAUCUGCCCACUUUGGCCUCCCAAAGUGCUGGGAUUACAGGCAUGAGCCACUGCGCCUGGCCCAGGUGAAAGUUUAUUGACAGACAAGAUUAAAUAAUACCCCACAAAUUAGUUAUCAGUUACAAAGAGAAAAUGGUAACUACCAUGGAAAAACCUUUGCAGCCACGACCUUAACCAUGUGAUCAGAAUCAGUUACCAACAGGAGGAAAAACUGACAUAAUGUGCUUACUAAUGUGACGCACUGAAAGGAAUAUGUGUUAGUCUUAUCUGAAUCUAAACCUCAGGAAACAGACAUCCCAAACUGAAGGACACUCUACCAAAUAACCAGCAAGUAAGCUCUCCUCAAAAAUGUCAACGUCAUGAACGACAGACUAUGUAAGACAAAGGACCUUGUUCCUAGGAGAUACAAGUUUCUAGGAACACAGGGUCACGAAUCUGCAACUGACUUUCAAAGGGGUCAAUUAAAUAAUUAUAUUGUAUAUGUUAUACAAUUAUAUAAUUAUAUAAUGUAUAAAUACAUAAUAUAAAUAUAU
rnacentral:lncRNA from 1 species